rnacentral:rRNA from 1 species
UGCAGUCGAACGAAGUAGUAAUACUUAGUGGCAAACGGGUGAGGAAAAUGUGGGUAUCUGCCCUUUGGCUCGGAAUAACAUGGGGAAACUUAUGCUAAUACCGGAUAAGCCUUCACAGGGAAAGCUUUAUGCACCGAUGGAUGAGCCCGCACUUGAUUAGCUAGUUGGUAAGGUAAUGGCUUACCAAGGCAACGAUCGAUAGCUGAUCUGAGAGGAUGAUCAGCCACAUUGGGACUGAGACACGGCCCAAACUCCUACGGGAGGCAGCAGUGGGGAAUCUUGCACAAUGGGGGAAACCCUGAUGCAGCGAUGCCGCGUGAGUGAAGAAGGCCUUUGGGUUGUAAAGCUCUUUCGUCGGGGAAGAAAAUGACUGUACCCGAAUAAGAAGGUCCGGCUAACUUCGUGCCAGCAGCCGCGGUAAUACGAAGGGACCUAGCGUAGUUCGGAAUUACUGGGCUUAAAGAGCACGUAGGUGGUUAAAAAAGUUGGUGGUGAAAUCCCAAGGCUCAACCUUGGAACUGCCACCAAAACUUUUUGGCUAGAGUAUGAUAGAGGGAAGUGGAAUUUCUAGUGUAGAGGUGAAAUUCGUAGAUAUUAGAAAGAACACCGAUUGCGAAGGCAGCUUCCUGGAUCAUUACUGACACUGAGGUGCGAAAGCAUGGGUAGCGAAGAGGAUUAGAUACCCUCGUAGUCCAUGCUGUAAACGAUGUGUGCUA